rfam:Struthio camelus australis contig781, whole genome shotgun sequence.
CAAAAGGCUUUGACUUGAAGCCACUCCAGAGUCAUUUAAAAUUUUUUU